rnacentral:lncRNA from 1 species
GUGAUGGAAUUGUAUGAAGCAAUCCCAAAUAUCUUCAGAUCAGAUGCUCAUAGUGCAGGGUGACAGGAUAACAUAUACGUGUGUGCAGGGAAAGGGAAUGUUUCAAUCCCAAACAAAAUAAUCACAGUGCGAAGACAUUAAGACAACUUCUGGUCAAAUGACCUUAGUAUACUUUCCUCCAUUCCCAGAAAUUAGGCCUCGGACCCUGAUAUGAUUUGGCUCUGUUUCUCCACACAAAUCUUAUGUUGAAUUUUAAUUCCCAGUGGUUGGGGAGGGACCUGGUGGGAGGUGACUGGAUCAUGGGUGAAUAUCCCCUCUGCUGUUCUCAUAAUACUGAGUUUUCAAGAGAUCUGAUGUUUUAAAUUGUGUGACAUUUCCCCUUUUGCUCUCUCUCUCCUGUCACCAUAUGAAGAAGAUUCUUGCUUUCUCUCCACCUUCCUCGAUGGGUGCAAAUUUCCUGAGGCCUCCCUACCCAUGCCUCCUGUACAGUCUAAAAAACUGACAGAUUAUGCCACAUUGAAAACAAUUAUCUUGUGUACAAGAAGGACCUACCAUGGCAAAGUCAGCCCCAACACAUUCAGAAGAAAUUUGUUUCAGCUAUUCAGUUAACUACUCAGUUAACAGUCAUGUUUUGCUCUGAAUUAUUCACAAUAUCC